CACGGGAGGAGCAAGCGUUGUUCGGAAUCACUGGGCUUAAAGGGCGCGUAGGCGGCUUGCCAAGUCAGGGGUGAAAUCUUUCGGCUCAACCGGAAAAGUGCCUUUGAUACUGGCAAGCUCGAGGGAGGUAGGGGUAUGUGGAACUUCCGGUGGAGCGGUGAAAUGCGUAGAUAUCUGGAGGAACACCGGUGGCGAAGGCGGCAUCCUGGACCAACACUGACGCUGAGUGAGCGAAGGCCAGGGGAGCAAACGGG
rnacentral:rRNA from 1 species